UGAAGUUGAGAUGGGAGCAGUAGAGGCGAUGUGGAACAUUUUUUUUCGGGGGACGUUGCUUCCGGGUUGGUUUUGGGGCGGACUUCCUGUUUCACGCAGUCUCGUUUUACUGUUCUCCAGCUGGAGUUGAUUCAUUUCUGACUAUGACGAUAAGCUGAAGACCAACCCCCAAAAAACCUAAAGAGGACCAGACAGGCACCGAAGAUGAAUGGAUKAAGGAAUGAUAGCURCAGUAUGAAACACUUUUACACUAAUCAUUCACUUAUUCACAUGUUCCACUCAAURAAAUCACAGAAUUUUACUUCAGCUCACAGAAGUAAUGGGGAAUGGAAAUCAACCUGCUGAAAAUGGAAAACUGCCCUCUCAGGACCAAUGGAUAUCAUGUUGAUGACAACUUCUCCAGCAGCGCAUACAGCAAUAUAUCCAGAUGAACAAACACACUCACGAUGCUCCACUAGAUGACGGGUUGGACUUGGGGUUGCUAAGUAACUGUAAAUGUGCAGUUCUUGCUGAUUGUGACCAAAUAAUCAGGAGGUUUGGGAAAUGACUUGUUUUCCAGACACCAAAAAAUGUUGAGUCAUUGCCAGAAAAUGACUAAGUGUUUUUAUUAAGCUCUUGGACUGUUUCUAGAAGCGGUAGAAAACCAAAUAUAAGUAAUA